GACGAACGCUGGCGGCGUGCUUAACACAUGCAAGUCGAGCGGUAAGGCCCUUUCGGGGGUACACGAGCGGCGAACGGGUGAGUAACACGUGGGUGACCUGCCCUCAGCUCUGGGAUAAGCCUGGGAAACCGGGUCUAAUACCGGAUAUGACUCCAUGACGCAUGUUGUGGGGUGGAAAGCCUUGUGCGGCUGAGGAUGGGCCCGCGGCCUAUCAGCUUGUUGGUGGGGUGAUGGCCUACCAAGGCGACGACGGGUAGCCGGCCUGAGAGGGCGACCGGCCACACUGGGACUGAGACACGGCCCAGACUCCUACGGGAGGCAGCAGUGGGGAAUCUUGCGCAAUGGGCGAAAGCCUGACGCAGCGACGCCGCGUGAGGGAUGACGGCCUGG
rnacentral:rRNA from 1 species